ensembl:lncRNA
UUUUUUUUUUUUUUGUCUUUUUGUCUUUUAUAGGGCUAUGCCUGCAGCACAUGGAGGUUCCCAGGCUAGGGGUCCAACUGGAGCUGUUGCUGCCGGCCUACGCCAGAGCCAUGGCAACUCGGGAUCCAAGCCGCGUCUGAGACCUACACCACAACUCACAGCAACGCCAGAUCCUUAACCCACUGAGCGAGGUCAGGGAUCGAACCCGAAACCUCAUGGUUCCUAGUCGGACUUGUUAACCACUGUGCCAUGAGAGGAACUCCUAUUUGUACCAUCUUAAAUGUUUCUCCAGGAGAAGUUAACUAGGUGCAGGAGAAAUCACAGAAACUCUCUACAAGUUGUACAGCACCUUGGCUGGAUUAUCAAAAUGAACACCUCCAGUGAGGGGCAUUUGGAAAUUGUGUCCUUCAUACAUGUGACCUGAGAAAGGUAUGUCACUUACAAGUGUCUUAGAGAUGAUUAUUCCGAAUCUAACCAUGAGUUAUUCACCAGGCAAACCCCGCGUGGAGUAUAUUCUAUUCAAAAAGGAAUUUCCAGGAGUUCCCUGGUGGCCUUGCAAUUAAGGAUUUGGCAUGGUCCUUACUGUGGCUCAGGUUCGAUCCCUGGCCUGAGAACUUCUGCAUGCUGUGGGUGUGACCUGAAAAAAUAACAAGAAACAAAAUGAGUUUCCUUGUGCUUUUACAAAUGUAAAUGUCAUAAAAGACAGAGACUGAGACAAGAUAUUCCAAGCUAGGGGUAACAGUCUUUACAGUCAUGAUAAAUCACUAUUUUUUAUAACCAGAAUCUGUGAUAUAAAUCUAUUGAGAGAAUGAUGGAGCAUAGUGAGAUGUAAGAACUAUAUCCGCAACAAUUACAACCCGAACUCAAUAGACUCAACAGAGUCUAUCUAAAAUUAUUAACUCCUUGAAGAGCAAUAUAAGCAUAUGUGGCAGAUCCCAUUGGUUAUCUGUGAAACAGCCAGCCUCUUUCUUCAGAUUUUGUUCAGCAUUUCCUCCUUCUAUUGGCUGUGAAUGGCAGGGGACAUCUCCCCUCAGGAGGUUACUCUGAAAGUUUGUGCUGAGCUGGGCUGGGGCCCAGUACCUGGGCCUGGAAAAACCACCCCUUGCCUGACUGAGACUUAAGUUAUUCUUGGGCCCUGGAGCUUUUGGGUUGGUUUGUCUUGUGCUAAUAAAAGGGUAGAUAAUUUAAAAAAUUUUGUCUUGUAAAAUGUCCCCCAAUCUUGAUGUAUUUGGUUGGUUACUUCCUCUGGGUAUUGACCUGUUCCUCUUUUCUCUGUAUUUGCUGUAUCCUAGAAGUUUGUCUAGGAAGUUUGAUUAGGUUCUGGCACAUAUUUCCAGCAAAAAUGUGUCAUGGUGAUGUUGUAUCUUUCGUAUUGCAUUUCAGACGGUACUUAAUGCUAAGACACCCUGCUGUUAAAUGAUGCUAAGCUUGAUUGCUUGGUUAAGGUGGUGACCAUUAGACCUUUCUAUUGGAAAGGUCCCUUUCUGUUUGAAAUCACAAUGGACUCUAUGGCAGGAUACUUUAGCAUCAUGCUAGGUUUUUUUUUUUUUUUUUUACUACCCCACAAUCUUUUGUCUAAUGGUUUUUAACAUCCAUUAAUGAUUUUUGCUGAAACUGAUCAUUGGAGAUUGUGAGAGAGUACUUUUGCAAUUGUCAUUUUUUCUAUGUUUAUUAGUCUGUAUUCUUCCAUAAAGAUCUUUUUAUCCUCUUUAUUCUAUCACUAUGGACUUCUGUAUUUUUAGGAAAAAAAUGCCAUUCAAUAUAUUAUAAUCAAUUAUAGUUCUUCUUCUUAUUAAUUUUUCCCACCUUUGGCUACUGGAAUGGCCAAUUUUCCCUUUCAGUCUGGCUCCUAGGUCCUCUGGCCAUGUCCUGAUUAGUCUUUGAUCAUAUUUGUGUUUUCUGGCUGAUACUUCCCAUCCCUAUCCCUGAAAUCAAUCGGUUCUCCAAGGAGCCAUGGUGUGGGGAAUAAUAUUUAUUUAUUUAUUUUCUUUUUUGGCUACCCCACGACACAUGGAGUUCUCAGCCUAGGGAUCAGAUCUCCGUUGCAGUUGCCACCUACACGGCAGCUGCAGCAGUGGCAGAUCCUUUAACCCACUGUGCCAGGCCAGGGAUUGAACCUGUGUCCUGGCACUGCAGAGCUGCCGCCGAUCCUGUUGCGCCACAGCAGGAACUCCAGGAAUAAUAUUUAGAAGCUUCUGAGAGCUGGGACCCAGAUGUCUUGUGUGAGUUUGAACUCUAGUUCAUGAUGGAGGGGCUGUUGGACUUUUUUCUGGCUUUCCAACUCUCUUCAUGCGGAAACCCAUACUGUGUGAUAAUACAGAUCUCUGUGAUCUCGGUGCUGAAAGAUGGUGAUCAGGAGGCAUCCAUUGUUGAUUCUCAUUUGACCUUGUAGCUGUCAUGUUUUUUUGUUUUUGUUUUUGUUUUGUUUUUAGUAUAAGAAAAGAUUAAAUAAUCUGUGAUUGGCUGACAUGCCUAAUUCAUACAGCCAUCUCAUUCCAAAUAACUGACAGCGUGCCUGACGUAUGGAAGGUUUUCAAUAAGAGCCUUUUGAAGGAAUAAAUUACUAAAGC